CUAUUAAGAGCGAUACUUGAAGUAUCAUGUACAAGAAUUUGAGAAAGAUCUGGCUGAGAAAUUUCUUGCAUGCUCUAGUGCCGCCAAGAGACAUAACAAUUCAUCUUCAACAAUUUUGAAUGUACAAGGAGUGGGGUUGAAGAAUUGUAGCAAGACAACCAGAGAUAUCUUGCUCAAUAUACAGAAAAUAGAUGGUGAUUAUUAUCCUGAGCCCAUCUACUCAAACCUCUUGAAGUUGCUCAUCCCUGUUGUCGUCUGCCAUGCUCUUGGCCACGUCACUAGUAACGUGUCCUUUGCUGCGGUUGCAGUCUUAUUCACUCACACAAUCAAAGGUGCUUGUUUACCAUGAUUUGCUGGGAAUGUUACAACAUCCUCAUCAUGCCAUGGUCACUCCAAAGUUUUGUAAAUAUUACGCACAAGUGGGAGAUGUCAUAAACAAAGCCCUUACAGAAUACAAAGACGACACUUUCGUCCUUUGUAGGUAAAGUUAUAAGACAACACUUCUGCCCUGAAUUCAGUGAAAUUAGUUGGUUGUAAAGAAGAGAAGAAGUAAAAAUCUUGACACUGUAAACAUUGUAGAGGAGAGGCCACGACGUUCUUUUUGAUAUCGAAAAAUUGAAAUAUUAUUUGUCAGAAGAAUUUUGA